AGAAGCGAGACUGUGAGGUGGAGCAAAACUCAAAAACCGGUCCCAGUUCGGACUGCAGGCUGAAACUCGCCUGCACGAAGUUGGAGUUGCUAGUAAUCGCAGAUCAGAAUGCUGCGGUGAAUGCGUUCCCGGGUCUUGUACACACCGCCCGUCACACCAUGGGAGCCGGUAAUACCCGAAGUCAGUAGUCCAACCUCGUGAGGACGCUGCCGAAGGUAGGAUUGGCGACUGGGGUGAAGUCGUAACAAGGUACC
rnacentral:rRNA from 1 species